rnacentral:rRNA from 1 species
UCGGAUCAGGUAGGGAUACCCGCUGAACUUAAGCAUAUCAAUA